UACGUAGGGGGCUAGCGUUGUCCGGAUUCAUUGGGCGUAAAGCGCGUGUAGGCGGCCAGAUAGGUCUGCUGUGAAAACUCGAGGCUCAACCUCGAGCCGUCGGCGGAAACCAUUUGGCUAGAGUCCGGAAGAGGAGAAUGGAAUUCCCGGUGUAGCGGUGAAAUGCGCAGAUAUCGGGAAGAACACCCGUGGCGAAGGCGGUUCUCUGGGACGGUACUGACGCUGAGACGCGAAAGCGUGGGGAGCGAACAGG
rnacentral:rRNA from 1 species